rfam:Emiliania huxleyi CCMP1516 EMIHTscaffold_230_Cont5687, whole genome shotgun sequence.
CGCCAUCGAAUGAGGCAAGACUACCCGCUGAACUUAAGCAUAUCACUAAGCGGAGGAGAAGAAACUAACCAGGAUGCCCCUAGUAAUGGCGAAUGAAGCGGGCUGAGCUCACGCUGCCAAUCUGGAGGCCUCGCGUAUGCAGCGCCCCCCGAAUUGUGGUCUAGAGAGGCGUUAUCGGCCGUGCCCGCCGCUCAAGUCCCUUGGAACAGGGUGUCGGAGAGGGUGAGAAUCCCGUACCGUGGCGGGUUGCGGCCUUACGAUGCGUUCUCGUCGAGUCGGGUUGCUUGGGAUUGCAGCUUGAAUUGGGUGGUAAAUUCCAUCUAAAGCUAAAUACUGGCGAGAGACCGAUAGCGAACAAGUACCGUGAGGGAAAGAUGCAAAGAACUUUGAAAAGAGAGUCAAAGAGUGCUUGAAAUCGGUAGGAGGAAACCCGGAUGGGCCCGGCUUCGGCGCGCCGACUCAGCCUGGGGUUCUCCCCAGGUGCACUUCUGCGCGCCGGGUCAGCCGCGCCUCGGCGCCGCGCCUCAACCCGGGAGCGGGGCUUUACGGCCAGCUCCCGUCCUGGCGCGGCCCGGGGCCCGGCUGACGGAACGGGCCCCUCCGACCCGUCUAGAAACACGGACCAAGGAGUCUGACACGUGUGCGAGUACCCGGGUGGCAAGCCCGCGUGCGGAAUGAAAGUGAAGGGCAUGCCCUGCCAACCGACCUUGACCUGCUGUGAGGGGUUUGAGUGGAGCACACCUGUCGGGACCCGAAAGAUGGUGAACUAUGCCUGGGUAGGGUGAAGCCAGAGGAAACUCUGGUGGAGGCUCGUAGCGAUACUGACGUGCAAAUCGUUCGUCGAAUCUGGGUAUAGGGGCGAAAGACUAAUCGAACCAUCUAGUAGCUGGUUCCCUCCGAAGUUUCCCUCAGGAUAGCUUGAACGCAACGGUUUUGUCAGGUAAAGCGAAUGAUUAGAGGCCUGUGGGCUGAAACAGCUUGCACCUAUUCUCAAACUUUAAAUGGGCAAGAGGCCCGGGAUGCUUGAGUGAUCCCGGGCGGCGAACGGCGCGUUCAAAGUGGGCCAUUUUUGGUAAGCAGAACUGGCGAUGCGGGAUGAACCGAACGCCGCGCUAAGGUACCCAAGUGUCCGCUCAUCAGAUACCACAAAAGGCGUUGGUACCUCCAGACAGCAGGACGGUGGCCAUGGAAGUCGGAACCCGCUAAGGAGUGUGUAACAACUCACCUGCCGAAGGUACUAGCCCUGAAAAUGGAUGGCGCUCAAGCGGACCACCGAUGCGCGGCCGCCGGCGCGAGCGCGAGGCGCCGGCGAGUAGGAGGGCGCGGGGCUCGCGGCGCAGCCUUGGGCGCGAGCCUGGGUGAAGCGGGCCCCGGUGCAGAUCUUGGUGGUAGUAGCAAAUAUUCAAAUGAGAACUUUGAAGACUGAAGUGGAGAAAGGUUCCGUGUGAACAGCAGUUGGACACGGGUGAGCCGACCCUAAGAGACAGGAAAACUCCGCCGAACGCGGCUGGUUCUGUCAGCCCGUCCGUCGAAAGGGAAUCGGGUUAAUAUUCCCGAGCCAGCGCGUGGAUGGUGGGCGGCGACGCGAACGAACCCGGAGACGCCGGCGGGAGCCCUGGGAAGAGUUCUCUUUUCUUCUUAACUGCCUCCUGCCCUGGAAUCGGUUUAGCCGGAGCGAGGGCUACACGGCAGGCAAAGCACCCUAAGUCUUGGGGUGUCCGGCGCGCUCCCGACGGCCCGUGAAAAUCCGGGGGAGCGGUUCGUUCUCACGCCUGGUCGUACUCAUAACCGCAUCAGGUCUCCAAGGUGAACAGCCUCUAGUCGAUAGAGCAAUGUAGGUAAGGGAAGUCGGCAAAAUGGUUCCGCAACCUCGGGAGAAGGAAUGGCUCUGAAGGCUGGGCGCAGGGGUCCUAGGCUCGAGGCCGGCUGGCUGCGCGGGGACUACGGCCUCACGGCUGCGGAUCCCGCGCGGCCGUCCGGCGGACGGCCUAGGAGCGCUCCGGCUCUCCCUGCGCGACGAACAGCCGCUUCAGAACUGGCGCGGACAAGGGGAAUCCGACUGUUUAAUUAAAACAAAGCAUUGCGAUGGCCCGCGAGGGUGCUGACGCAAUGUGAUUUCUGCCCAGUGCUCUGAAUGUCAAAGUGAAGAAAUUCAACCAAGCGCGGGUAAACGGCGGGAGUAACUAUGACUCUCUUAAGGUAGCCAAAUGCCUCGUCAUCCAAUUAGUGACGCGCAUGAAUGGAUUCGUGAGAUUCCCACUGUCCCUAUCUACUGUCUAGCGAAACCACAGCCAAGGGAACGGGCUUGGAAGAAUCAGCGGGGAAAGAAGACCCUGUUGAGCUUGACUCUAGUCUGUUACUGUGGAACGACUUGAUGGGUGUAGAAUAUGCGGGAGGGGCAACCCGACAGUGAAAUACCGCAACCGUCAACGUUGUUUUACUUACUCGGUGGCGCGGAGGGAGGCUCGCCUCACUUCUGGAUCCAAGCCGCUUCGUGCGCGCGAUCCGCGUCGGGGACACUAACAGGUGGGGAGUUUGGCUGGGGCGGCACGUCUGUUAAAAAAUAACGCAGGCGCCCGAUUUUGAGCUCAAUGAGAACAGAAAUCUCAUGUGGACCGAAAGGGGAAAAGCUCGGUUGAUUUUGAUUUUCAGUACGAAUACAAACCGCGAAAGCGUGGCCUAUCGAUCCUCUCGUCUUUGGGAAUUUCAAGCUAGAGGUGUCAGAAAAGUUACCACAGGGAUAACUGGCUUGUGGCUGCCAAGCGUUCAUAGCGACGUAGCUUUUUGAUCCUUCGAUGUCGGCUCUUCCUAUCACUGCCUCGCAGCGGGGGCCAAAUGCAGGAUUGUUCACCCACCAACAGGGAACGUGAGCUGGGUUUAGACCGUCGUGAGACAGGUUAGUUUUACCCUACUGCUGUCUGUUUUUCUACGGUAAUUUGGUUCAGUACGAGAGGAACCACCAAUUCGCAUCAUCGGUAUAGCCGCCGCCGGAAACGGCGAUGCGGCGAAGCUGCCAUGCGCCGGAUUAUAACUGAACGCCUCUAAGUUAGAAUCCAUGCCGGAAGGAAAGCCACCUACCGGCCCGGGGACGCCACGAGCAACGGUAGCACUGCCUGAGCCGCGAGCGACCACAAUUCACGGACCCGGGCCGACGAAUCCCUUGCAGACGACUUGAAUAAGGAACGGGGUAUUGUACGCGGCAGAGUGGCCUUGUUGCCACGAUCCGCUGAGAUUCAGCCUUGGUUCUGACGAUUUGU